rnacentral:autocatalytically_spliced_intron from 1 species
CCUGCUGUACGACCAGCAGUAGCCUAGGAGGACAUGCGUCACUGGCAACGGUGAGGUGUGAAGCUUCUCUGACAAUGUAGUCCCCGACGUUCAGGGCUGAGCUUUACCCACAAGUUACGGACCUGACUUAAAGAUGCGG